GAAGAAGUUUGGCAUAGGAUCAGGUUGUCAGGUCAACAGGCAUUUGUUAAGCUCCUUCAAUGUGUUAAGUGCUGGGAAUGAACAGAAAAGAAGAGGAGAAGUGAAGAGAGGGGAAGGGAAGGGGAAGGAGAAAAGGUACAGGAAAGGAGGAGAGGGAUGGAGAGAGGAGGGGAGGGGAGAGGAGAGAAGAGAAGAAAAGGUAGAGGACAAGAGGAAAGAACCUAACAAAAUAGUCUCUUCUUUCAGAGGUGCCUAGAGUAUUGGUCCUGGAGUCAAAAAGAUCUAGUUCAAAUACUGUUUGGUCUUUUUACAGGGACAGGGAGCUCUGCACACCUAACAUGGAGACAUUCUGUUUCUGGGAGAAGAUGCCCUCCUGUGUUCUUCUACCACACAGGUAAAAGUAAGCAAUGAGAGUAACAUCUCUUUUGGACUUCAUUCUGACAAACAAGAUGAAGUGGAAAAAUCCUCAGAUCUCCCCUUUUUGGUACCCCCUUAUGCCCUAAGGACUGGCUUUGCAAGGCUGACACACCCAGAAGCUUGCUACAAACAGGAUGAUCUGCUGGAACUCCAGAACAAAGCAAAUGGCUCCACUUCAUAGGGCACUGCCACUCCCCAUGCCAUGACC
rnacentral:lncRNA from 1 species